rnacentral:rRNA from 1 species
CCUCCUUUCUUCCUCCUUUUUUCCUCUUUCCCCCUUUUCUGUCGCCUGCCCCCGCCACGCCGCGUGAGGGAUGAAGGUACAGAGUAUCGUAAACCUCUUUUGUCAGGGAACAAAGGCGGGGACGCGUCCCCGGAUGAGUGUACCUGAAGAAAAAGCAUCGGCUAACUCCGUGCCAGCAGCCGCGGUAAUACGGAGGAUGCGAGCGUUAUCCGGAUUUAUUGGGUUGAAAGGGUGCGCAGGCGGUCUGUUAAGUCAGCGGUCAAAGCCCGGGGCUCAACCCCGGCCCGCCGUUGAAACUGGCAGUCUCGAGUUGGAGAGAAGUAUGCGGAAUGCGCGGUGUAGCGGUGAAAUGCAUAGAUAUCGCGCAGAACUCCGAUUGCGAAGGCAGCAUGCCGGCUCCACACUGACGCUGAGGCACGAAAGCGUGGGUAUCGAACAGGAUUAGAUACCCCUGUAGUC